UACGUAGGGUGCAAGCGUUAAUCGGAAUUACUGGGCGUAAAGCGUGCGCAGGCGGUUUUGUAAGACUGUCGUGAAAUCCCCGGGCUUAACCUGGGAAUGGCGAUGGUGACUGCAAGGCUAGAGUUUGGCAGAGGGGGGUAGAAUUCCGCGUGUAGCAGUGAAAUGCGUAGAUAUGCGGAGGAACACCGAUGGCGAAGGCAAUCCCCUGGGCCUGCACUGACGCUCAUGCACGAAAGCGUGGGGAGCAAACGGG
rnacentral:rRNA from 1 species